GACGAACGCUGGCGGCGUGCUUAACACAUGCAAGUCGAACGUGAUUUUUGUGGAAAUUCUUUCGGGAAUGGAAAUGAAAUGAAAGUGGCGAACGGGUGAGUAACACGUGAGCAACCUACCUUACGCAGGGGGAUAGCCGUUGGAAACGACGAUUAAUACCGCAUGAGACCACAGAAUCGCAUGAUAUAGGGGUCAAAGAUUUAUCGGUGUAAGAAGGGCUCGCGUCUGAUUAGCUAGUUGGAAGGGUAAAGGCCUACCAAGGCGACGAUCAGUAGCCGGUCUGAGAGGAUGAACGGCCACAUUGGAACUGAGACACGGUCCAAACUCCUACGGGAAGCAGCAGUGGGGAAUAUUGCACAAUGGGGGGAACCCUGAUGCAGCGACGCCGCGUGAGCGAAGAAGGUUUUCGAAUCGUAAAGCUCUGUCCUAUGAGAAGAUAAUGACGGUAUCAUAGGAGGAAGCCCCGGCUAAAUACGUG
rnacentral:rRNA from 1 species